UACGUAGGUGGCAAGCGUUGUCCGGAAUUAUUGGGCGUAAAGCGCGCGCAGGCGGUUCUUUAAGUCUGAUGUGAAAGCCCACGGCUCAACCGUGGAGGGUCAUUGGAAACUGGGGAACUUGAGUACAGAAGAGGAAAGCGGAAUUCCACGUGUAGCGGUGAAAUGCGUAGAGAUGUGGAGGAACACCAGUGGCGAAGGCGGCUUUCUGGGACGGUACUGACGCUGAGACGCGAAAGCGUGGGGAGCGAACAGG
rnacentral:rRNA from 1 species